rnacentral:lncRNA from 1 species
GUCAGUCUAAAACAACUAUCUCUACUCGGUCCCGUUCAAUACAUACAAAAUGCACUAGCACAAGAAGUUGGAACUAUACCGUUCCCAUAAUCAAGAUAAAUUACCUAUAAUCUUGUGCUACAAUCGUACCGAUGGCAUGUCCAAUUUCCAUCCUAGAUUGUGAACAAAAAACUUUAUACUUAUAAGAACCGAUGAUUUAAUCCUCUGUGUAUAAGCUAAAACUCUACACACUAAAUCAUCUACUAUAUAAGUAAAUAGACACCAUAAACGAAUAUAUGAUCUAUUAAAAUUGAGCAAAUAUUUAUUCUAUAAUAAAUAUUAUUUCUUAACACAUGGUUAAUAGCAUAUAUCCCAACAAUCUCCCACUUAGACUUUUAACCAUCACAAUUGUUAUAAUGUACUAUAUCUAAAUGCAUGGUUAAUAGUAUAUACCCUAACAAUCUCCCACUUAGAUAUUUAAUCUUGAAAAUUGUUAGAAUAAUAUGUCUAAACACAUGAUUAAUAGUAUAUACCCUAACA